AUUGAACGCUGGCGGCAGGCCUCACACAUGCAAGUCGAGCGGAGCGGCGGCCGGGUGCGUAAUGCCUAGGAAUCUGACUGGUAGUGGGGGAUAGGGUCCGGAAACGGGCGCUGAUCCCGCAUCCUAUCAGAUGAGCCUCGGUCGGAUUAGCUAGUUGGGGGGGUAAAGGCCUACCAAGACGACGAUCCGUAACUGGUCGGAGAGGAUGAUCAGUCACACUGGAACUGAGACACGGUCCAGACUCCGACGGGAGGCAGCAGUGGGGAAUAUUGGACAAUGGGCGAAAGCCUGAUCCAGCCAUGCCGCGUGUGUGAAGAAGGUCUUCGGGUUGUAAAGCACUUUAAGUUGGGAGGCGUUACCAACAGAAUAAGCACCGGCUAACUUCGUGCCAGCAGCCGCGGUAAUAC
rnacentral:rRNA from 1 species